UUUCCGUAGGUGAACCUGCGGAAGGAUCAUUCAUAAUAAAGUGUUUUAUGGCACUUUUUAAAAAUCCAUAUCCACCUUGUGUGCAAUGUUAGAUCUCGUCAAUCUUGGCGAGAUUUUUAUAAAUCAACUCAUUCUUUAACUAAUAUGUCUGAAAAAUAUUAUGAAUACUUAAUUCAAAAUACAACUUUCAACAACGGAUCUCUUGGCUCUC
rnacentral:misc_RNA from 1 species